GGCUCAGAUUGAACGCUGGCGGCAGGCUUAACACAUGCAAGUCGAGCGGAAACGAUGGGAGCUUGCUCCCCGGCGUCGAGCGGCGGACGGGUGAGUAACACUUAGGAAUCUACCUAGUAGUGGGGGAUAGCUCGGGGAAACUCGAAUUAAUACCGCAUACGACCUACGGGAGAAAGGGGGCAGUUUACUGCUCUCGCUAUUAGAUGAGCCUAAGUCGGAUUAGCUAGAUGGUGGGGUAAAGGCCUACCAUGGCGACGAUCUGUAGCUGGUCUGAGAGGAUGAUCAGCCACACCGGGACUGAGACACGGCCCGGACUCCUACGGGAGGCAGCAGUGGGGAAUAUUGGACAAUGGGGGGAACCCUGAUCCAGCCAUGCCGCGUGUGUGAAGAAGGCCUUUUGGUUGUAAAGCACUUUAAGCAGUGAAGAAGACCUAACGGUUAAUACCCGUUAGCGAUGACAUUAGCUGCAGAAUAAGCACCGGCUAACUCUGUGCCAGCAGCCGCGGUAAUACAGAGGGUGCAAGCGUUAAUCGGAAUUACUGGGCGUAAAGCGAGCGUAGGUGGCUUGAUAAGUCAGAUGUGAAAUCCCCGGGCUUAACCUGGGAACUGCAUCUGAUACUGUUAAGCUAGAGUAGGUGAGAGGGAAGUAGAAUUCCAGGUGUAGCGGUGAAAUGCGUAGAGAUCUGGAGGAAUACCGAUGGCGAAGGCAGCUUCCUGGCAUCAUACUGACACUGAGGCUCGAAAGCGUGGGUAGCAAACAGGAUUAGAUACCCUGGUAGUCCACGCCGUAAACGAUGUCUACUAGUCGUUGGGUCCCUUGAGGACUUAGUGACGCAGCUAACGCAAUAAGUAGA
rnacentral:rRNA from 1 species